AGUGAACGCUGGCGGUAGGCCUAACACAUGCAAGUCGAACGGCAGCACAGUAAGAGCUUGCUCUUACGGGUGGCGAGUGGCGGACGGGUGAGGAAUACAUCGGAAUCUACUUUUUCGUGGGGGAUAACGUAGGGAAACUUACGCUAAUACCGCAUACGACCUACGGGUGAAAGCAGGGGAUCUUCGGACCUUGCGCGAUUGAAUGAGCCGAUGUCGGAUUAGCUAGUUGGCGGGGUAAAGGCCCACCAAGGCGACGAUCCGUAGCUGGUCUGAGAGGAUGAUCAGCCACACUGGAACUGAGACACGGUCCAGACUCCUACGGGAGGCAGCAGUGGGGAAUAUUGGACAAUGGGCGCAAGCCUGACCCAGCCAUACCGCGUGGGUGAAGAAGGCCUUCGGGUUGUAAAGCCCUUUUGUUGGGAAAGAAAAGCAGCAGGUUAAUACCCCGCUGUUCUGACGGUACCCAAAGAAUAAGCACUGGCUAACUUCGUG
rnacentral:rRNA from 1 species